rnacentral:rRNA from 1 species
UGGGGAAUAUUGCACAAUGGGCGCAAGCCUGAUGCAGCCAUGCCGCGUGUAUGAAGAAGGCCUUCGGGUUGUAAAGUACUUUCGGCGGGGAGGAAGGUGUUGUGGUUAAUAACCUCAGCAAUUGACGUUACCCGCAGAAGAAGCACCGGCUAACUCCGUGCCAGCAGCCGCGGUAAUACGGAGGGGGCAAGCGGUAAUCGGAAUUACUGGGCGUAAAGCGCACGCAGGCGGUCUGUCAAGUCGGAUGUGAAAUCCCCGGGCUCAACCUGGGAACUGCAUCCGAAACUGGCAGGCUUGAGUCUUGUAGAGGGGGGUAGAAUUCCAGGUGUAGCGGUGAAAUGCGUAGAGAUCUGGAGGAAUACCGGUGGCGAAGGCGGCCCCCUGGACAAAGACUGACGCUCAGGUGCGAAAGCGUGGGGAGCAAACA